GGAGACCAGGUCUGAGUUAUGUGUCACCAUCGCAGAACCAGAGAAGAGCCCAGUGUCUGGUACCACAGCUGACACGAUCAAUGUCAAAAUUGCCCAGGCUGUACCCACCAAGCAGCUGAAUGUCAGUAAGCCAGCCAACAGAAGAUCCUGCUCAUGAGAAAGUAAUUCAUAAACCAGAGCCUCUUGCAGAAAGCAAAGUUGAAAAUCAGAAGUUUACACAGAGAAAGAAAGAAAUCUG
rnacentral:lncRNA from 1 species